GACGAACGCUGGCGGCGUGCCUAAUACAUGCAAGUCGAACGCACUGACGUCGACCGAAGCUGCUUGCAGUGGACGUUGAUUGACGUGAGUGGCGGACGGGUGAGUAACACGUGGGUAACCUACCCUUAAGUGGGGGAUAACAUUUGGAAACAGAUGCUAAUACCGCAUAACCAUUCAGACCACAUGGUCUGAAUGUAAAAGACGGCCUUUGGCUGUCACUUUUGGACGGACCCGCGGCGUAUUAGUCAGUUGGUAAGGUAACGGCUUACCAAGACAAUGAUACGUAGCCGACCUGAGAGGGUAAUCGGCCACAUUGGGACUGAGACACGGCCCAAACUCCUACGGGAGGCAGCAGUAGGGAAUCUUCCACAAUGGACGAAAGUCUGAUGGAGCAACGCCGCGUGAGUGAAGAAGGUUUUAGGAUCGUAAAACUCUGUUGUUGGAGAAGAACAGGGACUAGAGUAACUGUUAGUCCUUUGACGGUAUCCAACCAGAAAGCCACGGCUAACUACGUGCCAGCAGCCGCGGUAAUACGUAGGUGGCAAGCGUUGUCCGGAUUUAUUGGGCGUAAAGCGAGCGCAGGCGGUUUUUUAAGUCUGAUGUGAAAGCCUUCGGCUUAACCGAAGAAGUGCAUUAGAAACUGGGAAACUUGAGUGCAGAAGAGGACAGUGGAACUCCAUGUGUAGCGGUGAAAUGCGUAGAUUAUAUGGAAGAACACAAGUGGCGAAGGCGGCUGUCUGGUCUGUAACUGACGCUGAGGCUCGAAAGUAUGGGGAGCGAACAGGAUUAGAUACCCUGGUAGUCCAUACCGUAAACGAUGAAUGCUAAGUGUUGGAGGGUUUCCGCCCUUCAGUGCUGCAGCUAACGCAUUAAGCAUUCCGCCUGGGGAGUACGACCGCAAGGUUGAAACUCAAAGGAAUUGACGGGGGCCCGCACAAGCGGUGGAGCAUGUGGUUUAAUUCGAAGCAACGCGAAGAACCUUACCAGGUCUUGACAUCCUUUGACCACUGUAGAGAUACAGCUUUCCCUUCGGGGACAAAGUGACAGGUGGUGCAUGGUUGUCGUCAGCUCGUGUCGUGAGAUGUUGGGUUAAGUCCCGCAACGAGCGCAACCCUUAUGACUAGUUGCCAGCAUUUAGUUGGGCACUCUAGUAAGACUGCCGGUGACAAACCGGAGGAAGGUGGGGAUGACGUCAAAUCAGCAUGCCCCUUAUGACCUGGGCUACACACGUGCUACAAUGGUCGGUACAACGAGUUGCGAACCCGCGAGGGUAAGCUAAUCUCUUAAAGCCGAUCUCAGUUCGGAUUGUAGGCUGCAACUCGCCUACAUGAAGCCGGAAUCGCUAGUAAUCGCGGAUCAGCACGCCGCGGUGAAUACGUUCCCGGGCCUUGUACACACCGCCCGUCACACCAUGAGAGUUUGUAACACCCGAAGUCGGUGGGGUAACCCUUUUAGGGAACUAGCCGCCUAAGGUGGGACAGAUGAUUGGGGUG
rnacentral:rRNA from 1 species